ACUUUUUCUAAAAAAACAAAAAACAGAACGCUGCUUUUUAACGCAGCAAACGCAGCAAACGCAGCAGAGAAAUAGAAAAUUCAAGGGUUCCUUACAAACCACUAAUCCUUGAACUCAGAAUCGAUUAUUUGACUGGUAUCAAUUGGACUGGGACCUACGUAUUGGUUCGAGAAAUUUUGAGGAACCGGAUUUGCAGGCGAGCAGGCUACGAGUUAGGAUUUCCUUCCCUUCCAGUGAUAUUGAUAUGGAGCAUUUAGAGGCCGGUUCGAGGGGAAAAGGCAUCACGGGCUAGAGUUUGGGCUGGAUUGAGGAGUCUCGGGGCGCGAUAGUGAGUGCUGAUCAGUCUUCCAACAGGUCUCCGGAGUUGACUAGGUAGCUGUUUGGCGUUCGCAGCCCAGUGCUUCUCCUUCCUGUCUUAUUUAGAUUGUCUUAGUAUUUUAUUUUCGAACUAUGUUGUCCUUUCUUGUUCCUAGAUGAGUUGUAGUUGCUCAUGAUUGGUGACACCCCGUUGUCGGGCUUGUGUUAUAUUUUCGCACUGCUUAUUUUAACUUACAUUAUGGGAUUAUAGUUAAUUUAUAGCUUAAAAUGACUUAUUACGAA